AACGAACGCUGGCGGCGCGCCUAAUACAUGCAAGUCGAGCGAGAAGACGUAGCAAUACGUUUGUAAAGCGGCGAACGGGUGAGGAAUACAUGGGUAACCUACCCUAGAGUGGGGAAUAACUAGCCGAAAGGUUAGCUAAUACCGCGUACGCUCCUUGGACUUCGGUUCAGGGAGGAAAGCGAUACCGUGGGUAUCGCGCUCUUGGAUGGGCUCAUGUCCUAUCAGCUUGUUGGNGAGGUAACGGCUCACCAAGGCUUCGACGGGUAGCUGGUCUGAGAGGACGAUCAGCCACACUGGCACUGCGACACGGGGCCAGACUCCUACGGGAGGCAGCAGUAAGGAAUAUUGCGCAAUGGGGCGAAAAGCCUGACGCAGCGACGCCGCGUGGGGGGAUGAAGGUCUUCGGAUUGUAAACCCCUUUCGGGAGGGAAGAUGGAACGAGCAAUCGUUCGGACGGUACCUCCAGAAGCAGCCACGGCUAAC
rnacentral:rRNA from 1 species